CUGCGCCCGCGCGCGCGUCCUCGACUCUCGCCGCGCGCUCCGCACGAACGAAUCCUUUUUUUCUGAUACAACAUCUUAUAAGAACUGCUUUUAUCGUGUUUUCGAUCGGCCGAAAGUGGCGUGGUUGUGAUUCGAGCCGCGUUUGUGUGAUGGUCGCGCCGUAGCAGGCCGCGGCGUCGCGAUCUGUGUGUUUUUUUGCAUUGCAACUUUUGCAUCCGAGUCCUGUGGUGUUGCCGGGCGCGAGUGCCGGCCCCGAUCGGUUCGGCGACUCAAGUUCAUUGUCGAGUUAUCUUGAUCCGAGAAACUGGUGGCGCCGGCGCAGCAUGCGCGGCGUGACGUAGCGCGAUGGCGUCCGACGCGCGCGCGCGCUCGCCGCCGCCCGCGCGCCUGCGCCGCGACAACAACAGGUCCCCGUACGUGACGCUGGGCGCGGUGCGCUACGCCGUGCGCCGCGCGCCGCCGCCGCGCGCCUGCCCGUGCCGCUGCUGCUCCGAGG